UACGUAGGGUGCGAGCGUUAAUCGGAAUUACUGGGCGUAAAGCGUGCGCAGGCGGUUCGUUGUGUCUGAUGUGAAAGCCCCGGGCUCAACCUGGGAAUGGCAUUGGAAACUGGCGAGCUGGAGUGUGGCAGAGGGGGGUGGAAUUCCGCGUGUAGCAGUGAAAUGCGCAGAUAUCAGGAGGAACACCGGUGGCGAAGGCGGGUCUCUGGGCCGUAACUGACGCUGAGGAGCGAAAGCGUGGGGAGCGAACAGG
rnacentral:rRNA from 1 species